AGUGAACGCUGGCGGUAGGCCUAACACAUGCAAGUCGAACGGCAGCACAGUAAGAGCUUGCUCUUACGGGUGGCGAGUGGCGGACGGGUGAGGAAUACAUCGGAAUCUACUUUUUCGUGGGGGAUAACGUAGGGAAACUUACGCUAAUACCGCAUACGACCUACGGGUGAAAGCAGGGGAUCUUCGGACCUUGCGCGAUUGAAUGAGCCGAUGUCGGAUUAGCUAGUUGGCGGGGUAAAGGCCCACCAAGGCGACGAUCCGUAGCUGGUCUGAGAGGAUGAUCAGCCAAACUGGAACUGAGAAACGGUCCAGACUCCUACGGGAGGCAGCAGUGGGGAAUAUUUGACAAUGGGCGCAAGCCUGAUCCAGCCAUACCGCGUGGGUGAAGAAGGCCUUCGGGUUGGAAAGCCCUUUUGUUGGGAAAGAAAAGCAGCAGGUUAAUACCCCGCUGUUCUGACGGUACCCAAAGAAUAAGCACCGGCUAACUUCGUG
rnacentral:rRNA from 1 species